ACAGAGGUCUCAAGCGUUGUUCGGAUUCAUUGGGCGUAAAGGGUGCGUAGGUGGCGCGCUAAGUCAGGUGUGAAAUUUCAGGGCUUAACUUUGAAACUGCAUUUGAUACUGGCGUGCUUGAGGACUGGAGAGGAGACUGGAAUUCAUGGUGUAGCAGUGAAAUGCGUAGAGAUCAUGAGGAAGACCAGUGGCGAAGGCGGGUCUCUGGACAGUUCCUGACACUGAGGCACGAAGGCCAGGGGAGCAAACGGGA
rnacentral:rRNA from 1 species